rnacentral:rRNA from 1 species
CCUACGGGAGGCAGCAGUGAGGAAUAUUGGUCAAUGGGCGCAAGCCUGAACCAGCCAAGUCGCGUGAGGGAAGACGGCCCUACGGGUUGUAAACCUCUUUUGCCGGGGAGCAAGCCUUAGCACGUGUGCCCCGUCGGAGAGUACCCGGAGAAAAAGCAUCGGCUAACUCCGUGCCAGCAGCCGCGGUAAUACGGAGGAUGCGAGCGUUAUCCGGUUUUAUUGGUUUAAAGGGUGCGCAGGCGGGCUGUUAAGCCGGCGGUAAAAAUUCAGGGCUCAACCCUGUCGAGCCGUCGGAACUGGCAGUCUGGAGUGGGCGAGAGGUAUGCGGAAUGCGUGGUGUAGCGGUGAAAUGCAUAGAUAUCACGCAGAACGCCGAUUGCGAAGGCAGCAUACCGGCGCCCAACUGACGCUGAGGCACGAAAGCGUGGGGAUCGAACAGGAUUAGAUACCCCAGUAGUC